rnacentral:rRNA from 1 species
GGGGAAUAUUGCACAAUGGGCGAAAGCCUGAUGCAGCAACGCCGCGUGAGCGAUGAAGGGUUUCGGAUCGUAAAGCUCUGUCGCAUGGGAAGAUAAUGACGGUACCAUGUGAGGAAGCCCCGGCUAACUACGUGCCAGCAGCCGCGGUAAUACGUAGGGGGCAAGCGUUAUCCGGAAUUACUGGGCGUAAAGGGUGCGUAGGUGGUCUGCCAAGUUAGAGGUCAAAGGCAACGGCUCAACCGUUGUUCGCCCCUAAAACUGGCGGACUUGAGUUCUGGAGGGGAAAGCGGAAUUCCUAGUGUAGCGGUGAAAUGCGUAGAUAUUAGGAGGAACACCAGUGGCGAAGGCGGCUUUCUGGACAGAUACUGACACUGAGGCACGAAAGCGUGGGUAGCAAAC